rnacentral:tRNA from 1 species
GCUUUCGUGGUGUAGAGGUCAGCACACUCGGCGAGUAUUCGAGACGUCUGAGGUUCGAUUCCCGGCGAGGGUA